UACAGAGGGGGCAAGCGUUAUUCGGAAUUAUUGGGCGUAAAGGGCGCGUAGGCGGCGAUUCAAGUGACGGGUGAAAUCCCUCGGCUUAACCGAGGAACUGCCUGUCAGACUGGAUUGCUUGAGGCCGGGAGAGGCGAGUGGAAUUCCCAGUGUAGCGGUGAAAUGCGUAGAUAUCAGGAGGAACACCGAUGGCGAAGGCAGGUCUCUGGGCCACUACUGACGCUGAGAAGCGAAAGCAUGGGGAGCGAACAGG
rnacentral:rRNA from 1 species